rnacentral:rRNA from 1 species
UACGUGAGGGGCGAACGUUGUUCGGUGUCACUGGGCGUAAAGGGUGCGUAGGCGGGUCUUUAAGUCAGGGGUGAAAUCCUGGAGCUCAACUCCAGAACUGCCUUUGAUACUGAGGAUCUUGAGUUCGGGAGAGGUGAGUGGAACUGCGAGUGUAGAGGUGAAAUUCGUAGAUAUUCGCAAGAACACCAGUGGCGAAGGCGGCUCACUGGCCCGAUACUGACGCUGAGGCACGAAAGCGUGGGGAGCAAACAGG